rnacentral:rRNA from 1 species
UACAGAGGGUGCAAGCGUUGUUCGGAAUUACUGGGCGUAAAGCGCGCGCAGGCGGCUUCUUAAGUCCAUCGGUGAAAUGCCGGGGCUCAACCCCGUUGCAGGCCGAGGAUACUGGGAGGCUGGAGACGAGUAGAGGCAAGCGGAAUUCCGGGUGUAGCGGUGGAAUGCGUAGAGAUCCGGAAGAACACCGGAGGCGAAGGCGGGCUUGCUGGGCUUGGUCUGACGCUGAGGCGCGAAAGCGUGGGGAGCGAACAGG